UACGUAGGGGGCUAGCGUUGUCCGGAUUUAUUGGGCGUAAAGAGCGUGUAGGCGGCCAAGUAGGUCCGGUGUGAAAACUCGAGGCUUAACCUCGAGAUGUCAUCGGAAACCAUUUGGCUAGAGUCCGGAAGAGGAAAGUGGAAUUCCUGGUGUAGCGGUGAAAUGCGUAGAUAUCGGGAGGAACACCAGAGGCGAAGGCGGGUUACUGGGCUGAUACUGACGCUGAUGCGCGAAAGCUAGGGGAGCAAACGGG
rnacentral:rRNA from 1 species